GGAGGGUGCAAGCGUUAUCCGGAUUCACUGGGUUUAAAGGGUGCGUAGGUGGGCAGGUAAGUCAGUGGUGAAAUCUCCGGGCUUAACCCGGAAACUGCCAUUGAUACUAUCUGUCUUGAAUACCCUGGAGGUGAGCGGAAUAUGUCAUGUAGCGGUGAAAUGCUUAGAUAUGACAUAGAACACCCAUUGCGAAGGCAGCUCACUACGGGAAUAUUGACACUGAGGCACGAAAGCGUGGGGAUCAAACAGGAUUAGAUACCCUGGUAGUCCACGCCCUAAACUAUGGAUACUCGACAUCGGCGAUAAACUGUUGGUGUCUGAGCGAAAGCAUUAAGUAUCCCACCUGGGAAGUACGAUCGCAAGAUUGAA
rnacentral:rRNA from 1 species